rnacentral:rRNA from 1 species
GGGAAGAGCCCAAACCAACAAGCUUGCUUGUUGGGGUUGUAGGACACUCUAUACGGAGUUACAAAGGACGACAUUAGACGAAUCAUCUGGAAAGAUGAAUCAAAGAAGGUAAUAAUCCUGUAGUCGAAAAUGUUGUCUCUCUUGAGUGGAUCCUGAGUACGACGGAGCACGUGAAAUUCCGUCGGAAUCUGGGAGGACCAUCUCCUAAGGCUAAAUACUCUCUAGUGACCGAUAGUGAACCAGUACCGUGAGGGAAAGGUGAAAAGCACCCCGGAAGGGGAGUGAAAUAGAACCUGAAACCGUGUGCUUACAAGUAGUCAGAGCCCGUUAAUGGGUGAUGGCGUGCCUUUUGUAGAAUGAACCGGCGAGUUACGAUUUGAUGCAAGGUUAAGCAGUAAAUGUGGAGCCGUAGCGAAAGCGAGUCUGAAUAGGGCGUUUAGUAUUUGGUCGUAGACCCGAAACCAGGUGAUCUACCCUUGGUCAGGUUGAAGUUCAGGUAACACUGAAUGGAGGACCGAACCGACUUACGUUGAAAAGUGAGCGGAUGAACUGAGGGUAGCGGAGAAAUUCCAAUCGAACCUGGAGAUAGCUGGUUCUCUCCGAAAUAGCUUUAGGGCUAGCCUCAAGUGAUGAUUAUUGGAGGUAGAGCACUGUUUGGACGAGGGGCCCCUCUCGGGUUACCGAAUUCAGACAAACUCCGAAUGCCAAUUAAUUUAACUUGGGAGUCAGAACAUGGGUGAUAAGGUCCGUGUUCGAAAGGGAAACAGCCCAGACCACCAGCUAAGGUCCCAAAAUAUAUGUUAAGUGGAAAAGGAUGUGGCGUUGCCCAGACAACUAGGAUGUUGGCUUAGAAGCAGCCAUCAUUUAAAGAGUGCGUAAUAGCUCACUAGUCGAGUGACACUGCGCCGAAAAUGUACCGGGGCUAAACAUAUUACCGAAGCUGUGGAUUGUCCUUUGGACAAUGGUAGGAGAGCGUUCUAAGGGCGUUGAAGCAUGAUCGUAAGGACAUGUGGAGCGCUUAGAAGUGAGAAUGCCGGUGUGAGUAGCGAAAGACGGGUGAGAAUCCCGUCCACCGAUUGACUAAGGUUUCCAGAGGAAGGCUCGUCCGCUCUGGGUUAGUCGGGUCCUAAGCUGAGGCCGACAGGCGUAGGCGAUGGAUAACAGGUUGAUAUUCCUGUACCACCUAUAAUCGUUUUAAUCGAUGGGGGGACGCAGUAGGAUAGGCGAAGCGUGCGAUUGGAUUGCACGUCUAAGCAGUAAGGCUGAGUAUUAGGCAAAUCCGGUACUCGUUAAGGCUGAGCUGUGAUGGGGAGAAGACAUUGUGUCUUCGAGUCGUUGAUUUCACACUGCCGAGAAAAGCCUCUAGAUAGAAAAUAGGUGCCCGUACCGCAAACCGACACAGGUAGUCAAGAUGAGAAUUCUAAGGUGAGCGAGCGAACUCUCGUUAAGGAACUCGGCAAAAUGACCCCGUAACUUCGGGAGAAGGGGUGCUCUUUAGGGUUAACGCCCAGAAGAGCCGCAGUGAAUAGGCCCAAGCGACUGUUUAUCAAAAACACAGGUCUCUGCUAAACCGUAAGGUGAUGUAUAGGGGCUGACGCCUGCCCGGUGCUGGAAGGUUAAGAGGAGUGGUUAGCUUCUGCGAAGCUACGAAUCGAAGCCCCAGUAAACGGCGGCCGUAACUAUAACGGUCCUAAGGUAGCGAAAUUCCUUGUCGGGUAAGUUCCGACCCGCACGAAAGGCGUAACGAUUUGGGCACUGUCUCAACGAGAGACUCGGUGAAAUCAUAGUACCUGUGAAGAUGCAGGUUACCCGCGACAGGACGGAAAGACCCCGUGGAGCUUUACUGUAGCCUGAUAUUGAAAUUCGGCACAGCUUGUACAGGAUAGGUAGGAGCCUUUGAAACGUGAGCGCUAGCUUACGUGGAGGCGCUGGUGGG